GUGACGAGUUUGAUCAUGGCUCAGGAUGAACGCUAGCGGCAGGCCUAAUACAUGCAAGUCAAGGGGAUAGCAAUAUCACCGGCGGACGGGUGCGUAACGCGUACACAACGUGCCCAAGGGCGGAGGAAAGCGGCGGGAAACUGCCGGUAAUACUCCAUGGUGUUGUUGAGUGGCAUCACUUAACAACUAAAGUACAAGCGCCCUUGGAUCGGUGUGCGUUCGAUUAGCUAGUUGGCGGGGUAACGGCCCACCAAGGCUUCGAUCGAUAGGGGGUGUGAGAGCAUGACCCCCCACACGGGUACUGAGACACGGACCCGACUCCUACGGGAGGCAGCAGUAAGGAAUAUUGGACAAUGGGCGGAAGCCUGAUCCAGCCAUGCCGCGUGAAGGACGAAGGCGCUCAGCGUUGUAAACUUCUUUUGGAUGGGAACAAUAACUCCGACUUGUCGGAACUUGAGGGUACCAUCAGAAUAAGCACCGGCUAACUCCGUG
rnacentral:rRNA from 1 species